rnacentral:rRNA from 1 species
AAGUUAGUGGCGAACGGGUGAGUAAUACAUCGGAACGUACCCAGUUGUGGGGGAUAACGUAGCGAAAGUUACGCUAAUACCGCAUACGCACUGAGGUGGAAAGCGGGGGACCUUCGGGCCUCGCGCAAUUGGAGCGGCCGAUGUCGGAUUAGCUAGUUGGUGAGGUAAAGGCUCACCAAGGCGACGAUCCGUAGCUGGUCUGAGAGGACGACCAGCCACACUGGAACUGAGACACGGUCCAGACUCCUACGGGAGGCAGCAGUGGGGAAUUUUGGACAAUGGGCGAAAGCCUGAUCCAGCCAUGCCGCGUGAGUGAAGAAGGCCUUCGGGUUGUAAAGCUCUUUCAGACGGAAAGAAAUUGCUUCGGUGAAUAUCCGGAGUAGAUGACGGUACCGUAAGAAGAAGCACCGGCUAACUACGUGCCAGCAGCCGCGGUAAUACGUAGGGUGCGAGCGUUAAUCGGAAUUACUGGGCGUAAAGGGUGCGCAGGCGGUUAUAUAAGACAGAUGUGAAAUCCCCGGGCUCAACCUGGGAACUGCGUUUGUGACUGUAUAACUAGAGUACGGUAGAGAGGGGUGGAAUUCCUGGUGUAGCAGUGAAAUGCGUAGAUAUCAGGAGGA